UGAACGCUAGCGGCAGGCUUAACACAUGCAAGUCGAGGGGCAGCGUGAUGUAGCAAUACACUGACGGCGACCGGCGAAAGGGUGAGUAACGCGUGAGCAACAUGCCCGGUAGAGGAGGAUAGUCGAUGGAAACGUCGCGUAAUACUCCGUAACAACAGGGACCGCAUGAUCCUUGUUUAAUAGAUUUAUCGCUACCGGAUUGGCUCGCGUCCCAUUAGGCAGUUGGCGGGGUAACGGCCCACCAAACCGACGAUGGGUAGGGGUUCUGAGAGGAAGGUCCCCCACAUUGGAACUGAGACACGGUCCAGACUCCUACGGGAGGCAGCAGUGAGGAAUAUUGGUCAAUGGCCGAGAGGCUGAACCAGCCAUGCCGCGUGCGGGAGGACGGCCCUAUGGGUUGUAAACUGCUUUUAUGCGGGGAUAAAGUCGCCCACGUGUGGGUGUUUGCAGGUACCGCAUGAAUAAGGACCGGCUAAUUCCGUGCCAGCAGCCGC
rnacentral:rRNA from 1 species